CCUACGGGUGGCUGCAGUGGGGAAUAUUGCACAAUGGGCGCAAGCCUGAUGCAGCCAUGCCGCGUGUGUGAAGAAGGCCUUCGGGUUGUAAAGCACUUUCAGCGGGGAGGAAGGCGGUGAGGUUAAUAACCUCAUCGAUUGACGUUACCCGCAGAAGAAGCACCGGCUAACUCCGUGCCAGCAGCCGCGGUAAUACGGAGGGUGCAAGCGUUAAUCGGAAUUACUGGGCGUAAAGCGCACGCAGGCGGUCUGUCAAGUCGGAUGUGAAAUCCCCGGGCUCAACCUGGGAACUGCAUUCGAAGCUGGUAGGCUAGAGUCUUGUAGAGGGGGGUAGAGUUCCAGGUGUAGCGGUGAAAUGCGUAGAGAUCUGGAGGAAUACCGGUGGGGAAGGCGGCCCCCUGGACAAAGACUGACGCUCAGGUGCGAAAGCGUGGGGAGCAAACAGGAUUAGAUACCCGGGUAGUC
rnacentral:rRNA from 1 species